rnacentral:rRNA from 1 species
UUACCAAAAACAUAGCCCUCGUAACUAUCGGAGGUGCAACCUGCCCAGUGAUAUUUAAUUAAAUAAUAAUAAACUAUUAAAAAAAUAUUAAAAGGACGCGGUAACCUUGACUGUGAUAAUGUAGCAUAAUCAAUUGCCAUUUAAUUGGUGGAUAGUAUGAAUGGUUAAACGAAUAUUACACUGUCUUAAAAGAGGAACCUAUAAAAUUGAAAUAAUAGUAAAGAUGCUAUUUAAAAUUGUAAGACGAAAAGACCCUAUAGAGCUUAACUAUAAUUUCUCUUUUAUUAUCAGAAAAAUCAUCUAACAAAAAAGAAAAAUUGGUAGUUUAGUUGGGGCGACUGUCUUUUAAAAACAACAAAGACAAGCAAAAUUAAUAAAAUAAUUUAUUGUAAAAAACAUAAAUUUAACAAUUACAAAAGUAGGCUAUAAUGACCCAUUAUAAUUUAAUAAUAGAUAUAAUGAUUAAUAAAUAAAAGCUACCUUAGGGAUAACAGGAUAAUUUUGUUCAAGAGAUCGUAUCAAAAACAAAGUUUGUCACCUCUAUGUUGAAUUAAGAUAUCCCGAUAACGCAA